rnacentral:rRNA from 1 species
UACAGAGGUCUCAAGCGUUGUUCGGAUUCAUUGGGCGUAAAGGGCGCGUAGGCGGCGGGGUAAGUCUGGUGUGAAAUCUCGGAGCUCAACUCCGAAAUUGCACUGGAUACUGCUCUGCUUGAGGGUUGGAGAGGAGAUCGGAAUUCACGGUGUAGCAGUGAAAUGCGUAGAUAUCGGGAGGAACACCAGUGGCGAAGGCGACUACCUGGCCUGUUCUUGACGCUGAGGCGCGAAAGCUAGGGGAGCAAACGGG